rnacentral:rRNA from 1 species
UUUGAUCCUGGCUCAGAUUGAACGCUGGCGGCGUGCUUUACACAUGCAAGUCGAACGGCAGCAUAGGAGCUUGCUCCUGAUGGCGAGUGGCGGACGGGUGAGUAAUACAUCGGAACGUGCCUAGUAGUAUGGGAUAACUCAUUGAAAGAUGAGCUAAUACGGUAUAAUCUCUGAGGAGGAAAGCUUGGGAGCUAGAGAUAGUCCAGGCGCUACUAGAUCGGCCGAUGGUUGAUUAGCUAGUUGGUGGGGUAAAAGCUUACCAAGGCGAUGAUCAAUAGCUGUUCUGAGAGGAAGAUCAGCCACACUGGGACUGAGACACGGCCCAGACUCUUACGGGAGGCAGCAGUGGGGAAUUUUGGACAAUGGGGGCAACCCUGAUCCAGCAACGCCGCGUGAAUGAAGAAGGCCUUAGGGUUGUAAAGUUCUUUUAUCUGAGGGCAAAGGCUAUAUAUAAAUAGUAUAUAGAUAUGAGAGUAUCAGAGGAAUAAGCACCGGCUAACUACGUGCCAGCAGCCGCGGUAAUACGUAGGGUGCGAGCGUUAAUCGGAAUUACUGGGCGUAAAGGGUGCGUAGGCGGUUAUAUAAGUUAGAUGUGAAAUGCCUGAGCUCAACUUAGGAAUGGCAUUUAAGACUGUAUGUCUAGAGUUAGUGAGAGGGGGGUAGAAUUCCAAGUGUAGCAGUGAAAUGCGUAGAGAUUUGGAGGAAUACCGAAGGCGAAGGCAGCCCCCUGGUGUAUAACUGACGCUGAGUCACGAAAGCGUGGGUAGCAAACAGGAUUAGAUACCCUGGUAGUCCACGCCCUAAACGAUGUCUACUAGCUGUUGGUGUAGAGAUGCACGAGUAGCGAAGCUAACGCGAUAAGUAGACCGCCUGGGGAGUACGGUCGCAAGAUUAAAACUCAAAGGAAUUGACGGGGACCCGC